rfam:Kitasatospora griseola strain MF730-N6 RKJC_1, whole genome shotgun sequence.
CUUCACCGACCCCAGCCACAACGGCUCGUCCCGAUCGCGGCCGUAGGUCGCCAGGAGCGCCUGCGCCUC